rnacentral:rRNA from 1 species
AGUGAACGCUGGCGGUAGGCCUAACACAUGCAAGUCGAACGGCAGCACAGUAAGAGCUUGCUCUUACGGGUGGCGAGUGGCGGACGGGUGAGGAAUACAUCGGAAUCUACUUUUUCGUGGGGGAUAUCGUAGGGAAACUUACGCUAAUACCGCAUACGACCUACGGGUGAAAGCAGGGGAUCUUCGGACCUUGCGCGAUUGAAUGAGCCGAUGUCGGAUUAGCUAGUUGGCGGGGUAAAGGCCCACCAAGGCGACGAUCCGUAGCUGGUCUGAGAGGAUGAUCAGCCACACUGGAACUGAGACACGGUCCAGACUCCUACGGGAGGCAGCAGUGGGGAAUAUUGGACAAUGGGCGCAAGCCCGAUCCAGCCAUACCGCGUGGGUGAAGAAGGCCUUCGGGUUGUAAAGCCCUUUUGUUGGGAAAGAAAAGCAGCAGGUUAAUACCCCGCUGUUCUGACGGUACCCAAAGAAUAAGCACCGGCUAACUUCGUG